rfam:Gossypium raimondii Chr05_contig_1159, whole genome shotgun sequence.
AGGCAUUUGGUCUAGUGGUAUGAUUCUUGCUUCGGGUGCAAGAGGUCCUGAGUUCAAUUCAAAAUACUUU